GGAUGAGCCCGCGGCCUAUCAGCUUGUUGGUGGGGUGAUGGCCUACCAAGGCGACGACGGGUAGCCGGCCUGAGAGGGUGACCGGCCACACUGGGACUGAGACACGACCCAGACUCCUACGGGAGGCAGUAGUGGGGAAUAUUGCACAAUGGGCGGAAGCCUGAUGCAGCGACGCCGCGUGAGGGAUGACGGCCUUCGGGUUGUAAACCUCUUUCAGCAGGGAAGAAGCGCAAGUGACGGUACCUGCAGAAGAAGCACCGGCUGACUACGUGACAGCAGCCGCGGCCG
rnacentral:rRNA from 1 species